ensembl:lncRNA LINC00964 long intergenic non-protein coding RNA 964
AGCAUGACCAGUGGAAGCUUCGAAGAGCUAUUGCCAAUUUCCACCCUCUCUCUGGAAACUGUCAUUAGGGUUAGGGAAACUGUCAUGAGAUCUGCAUAUUUUAGAUAGAGGCUGCUUGCCUUAUUUGGGCACCUAAUGAAAAAGACAUGGAGGCCAGGUGCGGUGGCUCAUGUCUGUAAUCCCAGCACUUUGGGAGGCCAAGGCGAGUGGAUCACCUGAGGUCAGGAGUUCGAGACCAGCCUGACCAACAUGGCAAAACCCCGUCUGUACUAAAAGUGCAAACACAAAGGGAACUGCGUGGCUUGUUUCUACCUGAACAUUGUCAAGUGAUUUCAUCCUUUGAAACACAGUUGUGAAGUGUGUCCAGCAGUCUGAGAACAAGAAGAAGAAGAAAAUCUAAUCCUUCAGGGUGUCUGUGUGCCAGCCCUGCUCUCAGCACUUCCCAUGUGGAACUCCUUUACUUCUCCUAACAACUCCAUGACAUGGGUUAGACUGUGAUUGUUCCCAUAUUGUUGGUAGGGAAACUGAGGCAUGCAGGUGUUACAGAGCUCUCUCAAGUGGCAAGCUUUCUGGGUGGUUACAGAGUGGCAGAGCUGGGGUAUCCCAUGAUGUCACCACACUGCUAUAUGGAAAAGAACAUUAAUCGAGCACCUACGUGCUUGAUUCUCUUAAUUCUGUGACUGAACUCUCAAAACACCCUGGAAGCAAGCAGCAUGCUGGAGACCCUCAAAUACAUGUGAAAUGAAGGGACACCUUGUGUUAUUUCACCUGUUUCCACCUGGUUCCCAAGUGGCAAGCUUGCAUUGAGGUUACAAAGUGGCAAAGCUGGGAUAUCACAUGAUGUCACCAUGAUGCUAUAUGAAAUGUAACAUUAAUUGAGUACCUAUGUGACCAGUUCUUUAAUUCUGUAAGUGAACUCUCAAAAAACCCUAGGUAAGUAUUAUCAACUCGAACUUUAACGGAUGAGGAAACUGGAAUUUUUUAAAAAAUGACUUAACCAAACAUCACAGAGCUGUAAACCAGGAUUUGAAUGGGUGAGCUGCACUCAGCCUUCAUCUCAAGUCAGUUUGCCUCUUUCUCCAAGAAGCCACAGUUGAUCCUGACCACAUCACAUAUGAGUUGCCUGGAUUGCAGUCAUUCAUUCACUAAGCAUCUUUUAGGAGGUCACAUGCCAGGCACCGUGUUAGAGCACUGCGUGUUUUGAAAUAUACAAAUAGUGGGAAACGAAAUCUUUGUUCUGGAUGCAGUUAUAAUUUGGAAAGCGAGGAAAUAAAUUAUAACAAGGGGAAAAAACAGACACAGAGGGAUUGAAAUGCAUAACAAUAGAGAUGAAACACGAAGAGUGAUAAAUGAAGAUUGAGUGUGCACACCUUCUGGAGGAGCCCUGAUUGAGUAUUUUAAAAUACUACUAAAGUCAUGCCGUGUGACUUCUGAAGCUAGCUCCUAAGAAGUCCUUGCAGCUUCUGCCUGCGACUCUUAGAACACUUGCUUUGAAGGAUGCCAGAUGCUGUCUUAAAAGUCUGAGCACUCUGAAACCAUCAUGCUGUGAGGAAGCCCAAGCUAACCACAUGGGCAAAAAAGAUGCCCUCUGACUGCCACCAUUUGAGACACUCUAAUUAAGAACUGCCUCAUUGAGCCCAUGAGGCCCUGUGAAUGAUAAUAAUAAAUUGUUUUUAACCACU